AGUGAACGCUGGCGGUAGGCCUAACACAUGCAAGUCGAACGGCAGCACAGUAAGAGCUUGCCCUUACGGGUGGCGAGUGGCGGACGGGUGAGGAAUACAUCGGAAUCUUCUUUUUCGUGGGGGACAACGUAGGGAAACUUAUGCUAAUACCGCAUACGACCUACGGGUGAAAGCAUGGGAUCUUCGGACCUUGCGCGAUUGAAUUAGCCGAUGUCGGAUUAGCUAGUUGGCGGGGUAAAGGCCCACCAAGGCGACGAUCCGUAGCUGGUCUGAGAGGAUGAUCAGCCACACUGGAACUGAGACACAGUCCAGACUCCUACGGGAGGCAGCAGUGGGGAAUAUUGGACAAUGGGCGCAAGCCUGAUCCAGCCAUACCGCGUGGGUGAAGAAGGCCUUCGGGUUGUAAAGCCCUUUUGUUGGGAAAGAAAAGCAGCAGGUUAAUACCCCGCUGUUCUGACGGUACCCAAAGAAUAAGCACCGGCUAACUUCGUG
rnacentral:rRNA from 1 species